rnacentral:rRNA from 1 species
UACGGAGGGUGCAAGCGUUGUCCGGAUUUAUUGGGUUUAAAGGGUGCGUAGGCGGUCUUUUAAGUCAGUGGUGAAAUCCUCCAGCUCAACUGGAGAACUGCCAUUGAUACUGGAGACUUGAGUAUAGUUGAGGUAGGGCGGAAUUGACAGUGUAGGCGGUGAAAUGCAUAGAUAUUGUCAAGAACACCGAUUGCGAAGGCAGCUUACUAAACUAUAACUGACGCUGAGGCACGAAAGUGCGGGGAUCAAACAGGG